UUUUCUGUAGUAGAGUUUGUUGUGAAAUUUACAAACUGCCUCUGGCCUUGUAGUCGGGGUCCUUCAGGAAGUGGGCAGGGUCAGACUCACGUGACACAAGGGGGGGGGGUGGUUGUGUUCUGAUAUAACCUCUAGUCGCAGGUGUGUGCGAUGAAUUGCGGUUUUGGAGAAGGUUGCUUCCAGCUGGAGGUGAAUCGAAAAGACCGGGCCUCAAGUGAACGGCUGUAGAACAGAUAUCGCUAAACGAAGAAGACUACGGAAAACAAAGGACCAAAAGACUUUCUUGUUUCCCCCACUACAAACUUUUGUAUAUACACCUUUUUUUUUUAUCUGAACUGCAACAACAAAGGAGGAGCGGGGCUGGCCCGGGGGAGGAUGCAGACGGAACGGAGCCAAUUAAGCACCGGAGUGGUCCCUGAGGCAGUCGUCGUCUUCAGAACGCAAACUAUCACAGUCUGAGAUAUUACUACUCAGCUCAGCCAGUUUCAGCACCAUACAAUAUAGCUUCAUCAGGAAAAGGUGUCAAAACAGCACGAGGAAGACGAGGAGGGGAAAGUGUUGAUGUUGUCAGUGCUAUCUGGUGAGAUUACCCUCUGGAAACACCAGUCUGAUUACUUUUGAGAAACAUGCAACAAAACGGAUCAACCUUACAGCUGGACAUUUUAAAUGCAGUAACACACGUAAGCCCUAAAUGAGUGUGUAAAGCUUUGACAGCCCAUCAGUCAAAUAUUGUACCACCACCAAGUUUUAAAUAUAUUCCAUCCCAGAGCUUCAUGUUUGCAUGCUUAUGCAGAAUUCAGCCACCAUAAAUCCAAACAAUACCUGCGAGCUGAAAUUAUGUGGGGGCUACUUGGGUAAUAUCAAGCAGACUACAUCUGCUCUCCCCAAUGGCAGGAGAUUCAGGCAAGAUAAAUCUGAUUGGAUGCUCAACAAAACUGCCAAUAAAAAAGCCACCCCACUACACGACAUGCAGGCAACGAAAUGGUGAUGCCGGUGAAAUUUCCUAAAAAGCAAGCUACUAGCCAGUCUACAAGCUUUAAGGGCUGGAGAUAUUCUGUGUUUUUCUUUUU